GGAGGAUAUGUGGAGGUCUGUAGGGUGGAGGAGAACAGGAGGAUAUGUGGAGGUCUGUAGGGUGGAGGAGAACAGGAGGAUAUGUGGAGGUCUGUAGGGUGGAGGAGAACAGGAGGAUAUGUGGAGGUCUGUAGGGUGGAGGAGAACAGGAGGAUAUGUGGAGGUCUGUAGGGUGGAGGAGAACAGGAGGAUAUGUGGAGGUCUGUAGGGUGGAGGAGAACAGGAGGAUAUGUGGAGGUCUGUAGGGUGGAGGAGAACAGGAGGAUAUGUGGAGGUCUGUAGGGUGGAGGAGAACAGGAGGAUAUGUGGAGGUCUGUAGGGUGGAGGAGAACAGGAGGAUAUGUGGAGGUCUGUAGGGUGGAGGAGAACAGGAGGAUAUGUGGAGGUCUGUAGGGUGGAGGAGAACAGGAGGAUAUGUGGAGGUCUGUAGGGUGGAGGAGAACAGGAGGAUAUGUGGAGGUCUGUAGGGUGGAGGAGAACAGGAGGAUAUGUGGAGGUCUGUAGGGUGGAGGAGAACAGGAGGAUAUGUGGAGGUCUGUAGGGUGGAGGAGAACAGGAGGAUAUGUGGAGGUCUGUAGGGUGGAGGAGAACAGGAGGAUAUGUGGAGGUCUGUAGGGUGGAGGAGAACAGGAGGAAGGGGGGGAGCAGCAAUCUGUUUGGUAUAAAGGAGACAAUGAAGUCACUGUUUGUAGGGCCAGCCAGGCAGGCAAGCUGAGGAUCGUGUUGUAGUGUGCUGUAGUGUAGUGUGCUGUAGAGAGAAGAACUGACAGGAGGAAUAGGAGAAGGACAAGGUGAAAGAAGAGGAGAGGCUGGACUGUGACCAGCAACAGUGAGUCAGAUCUUUACACUAUUAGAGAGAAAGCAAGACGAGAUACUACAGCCUGCUACUCGUCUGACAGUGGACUGUACAGUGACCUCUGUUGGCCUGAAGUUGGAUGACAUUGAA